rnacentral:lncRNA from 10 species
AAGAAUGAGCCUAUAGAUGAAAUUAUUCCCUUGGAGCUAGCUGGCACGGGCUAACCCUAUCUUCCUCAGCAGAGCUUGCACGGGGUGGCAGAUCCUCUUUUCAUUUCCUAGAAGCAAGAAGGGAGCCAGAAGCCCAGUUCUCAGGAGGUAACAUCUGGUUUCAGUGAACUGGAGGAAAACACAAGGAGACAGUGGCAGGGGAAGAGCAGCCUACCGUGGCUCUCCAUGAGACAAGCUCAGAGUGUGAGAUGCACAGUUUUUCCAGAGUUCCAACACCUGGAGCAGAAUUAUCACUGUCCAGAUGAUGACCAAAACAAGAAUAAUCCAGCACUGUAAAGGAAAUUUUCAAGAUGUGCCUGGGUGACUAUGCUGGCCAAUGGAACAUAACUUGAAACGGCAUGUGUGAUUUCUGGAAAACAUCUCUAAAGCUUCCUUACUUGAAGAUUUUCAUGCGUUGUGUGCUUAAAAUUAUACAAGUACUAUUAGAACACCUUUGAAUAAGCACAUUCUGAAAUAUACCAAUUAUAUUACUCAAAGUACAAUGCUGAGCCAUUUUAUAGAUGCAGAAUGUAUUUUGGCUUUUCAUUAACAUUAAUUGCUGUCCUAAUCAUCUGCAGUUUGAUUUCGUCUGUGAAUACCUCUGUCAAUCAGUCUGCUCCUACAAAUAAAUGCCUUCGGAGGCAUUUCCUUUUCAAAAGAUAUGGUAUUGUUAAA